rnacentral:rRNA from 1 species
GAUGAACGCUAGCGGCAGGCUUAACACAUGCAAGUCGAGGGGUAUAGGUUUUCGGACCUAGAGACCGGCGCACGGGUGCGUAACGCGUAUGCAAUCUACCUUUCACAGAGGGAUAGCCCAGAGAAAUUUGGAUUAAUACCUCAUAGUAUAGCAGUUUCGCAUGAAACCACUAUUAAAGUAUCAACGGUGAAAGAUGAGCAUGCGUCCCAUUAGCUAGAUGGUAAGGUAACGGCUUACCAUGGCUACGAUGGGUAGGGGUCCUGAGAGGGAGAUCCCCCCCACUGGUACUGAGAAACGGACCAGACUCCGACGGGAGGCAGCAGUGAGGAAUAUUGGUCAAUGGACGCAAGUCUGAACCAGCCAUGCCGCGUGCAGGAUGACGGUCCUAUGGAUUGUAAACUGCUUUUGUACGAGAAGAAACAACAUUACGUGUAAUGUCUUGACGGUAUCGUAAGAAUAAGGAUCGGCUAACUCCGUGCCAGCCGCCGCGGUAAAAC